AAAAUACCCAAUUCUUACUAAACUAAACUCAAGAAAUUUUACACAUACUUACCAUUUAAUCAAAUUGAUCAUUAAUUAAUGUUUCUAACAUGCUCACAACCAAUUAAACUCAAUAAAUUUAGACAUUUAGUAAGUAAAUCAAAAAGUCCAAAAUUUUAGUAAACUAAACUUUUUGAAAAUCUUUAAACAAGCAUAAAUCAUCAAUCAAACUUUAGAUCUAGCAUAAUGACUCGCCUAAUUGCAUACAUCCUUCAUCAAAUUAGCAAAUUAAACCAAGAAAUCAAAUAUGCCCAAUUUACAUCAAACUAACUCAUGAGAAUUUUUACAAAUCAAAUCCAAUCAUCAAUCUAACUCUUGUACUAGCAUAUUAAUCAUCUCAAUAACAUAAUUCAAGCAUCAAUUCAUCAAUACUCAUCACCAAUCAAAAUUUCCACAUUUUAGCAAACUAACUCACAAGAAUUUUACAUAAAUCAUCAUAACUCAACAAACUAACCAUAGAUCUAUCGUGUAAAUACUUUCAAUUGAAAUUAUAACUCAUCAAUUUGAAGAAAUCACAAGAAAA
rnacentral:lncRNA from 1 species